rnacentral:rRNA from 1 species
CCUACGGGAUGCAGCAGUGGGGAAUAUUGCACAAUGGGGGAAACCCUGAUGCAGCAACGCCGCGUGAGUGAAGAAGUAUUUCGGUAUGUAAAGCUCUAUCAGCAAGGAAGAAGAAAGACGGUACCUGACUAAGAAGCCCCGGCUAACUACGUGCCAGCAGCCGCGGUAAUACGUAGGGGGCAAGCGUUAGCCGGAUUUACUGGGUUUAAAGGGAGCGUAGACGGCUGUGCAAGUCUGUAGUGAAAGCCCGGGGCUCAACCGCGGAACUGCUUUGGAAACUGUAAAGUUUGAGUACUGGAGAGGCAGGCGGAAUUCGUAGUGUAGCGGUGAAAUGCGUAGAUAUUAGGAGGAACACCAGUUGCGAAGGCGGCCUGCUGGACAGAAACUGACGUUGAGGCUCGAAAGCGUGGGGAGCAAACAGGAUUAGAUACCCGGGUAGUC